GCCUGGCUGGCUCAGUCGGUAGAGCAUGUGACUCUUGAUCUCGGGGCUGUGAGUCCGAGCCCCAUGCUGGGUG
rnacentral:tRNA from 1 species